GAUGAACGCUGGCGGCGUGCCUAAUGCAUGCAAGUCGGACGCACACCUUCGGGUGUGAGUGGCGGACGGCUGAGGAACACGUGGGUAUCUGCCUUGCAGUGGGGGACAACGGGCCGAAAGGUCCGCUAAUCCCGCAUACGAUCGCCAGUACUGGCGAUGAAAGCCUUCGGGCGCUGGAAGAGGAGCCUGCGGCCCAUCAGGUAGUUGGCGGGGUAAUGGCCCACCAAGCCUGUGACGGGUCCCUGGUCUGAGAGGACGACCAGGCAGACUGGGACUGAGACACGGCCCAGACUCCUACGGGAGGCAGCAGCAAGGAAUUUUCGGCAAUGGGCGCAAGCCUGACCGAGCAACGCCGCGUGGAGGAUGACGGCUUUCGGGUUGUAAACUCCUUUUGGAUGGGACGAUACUGACGGUACCAUCCGAAUAAGCCCCGGCUAACUCUGUGCCAGCCGCCGCAGUAAAAC
rnacentral:rRNA from 1 species